rnacentral:rRNA from 1 species
CAGCCGUAAACUAUGCUCGCUAGGUGUCAGGCAUGGCGCGACCGUGUCUGGUGCCGCAGGGAAGCCGUGAAGCGAGCCACCUGAGAAGUACGGCCGCAAGGCUGAAACUUAAAGGAAUUGGCGGGGGAGCACAACAACGGGUGGAGCCUGCGGUUUAAUUGGACUCAACGCCGGACAACUCACCGGGAACGACAGCAAUAUGUAGGCCAGGCUGAAGACCUUGCCUGAACCGCUGAGAGGAGGUGCAUGGCGUAGACGUCU